AAGUGUGAUGAGGGCAUUUUUUAAGUAUUCCUUAAAUCUCUAUCAACAUUCAUAUAAAAACUCUCCUCAAAUUGAGCAAAAGAUAUGAUAUCAUUUCUUAGCUU